AAAGUACUCCCUCCGUCCCAAAAUUCUUGUCUUAGAUUUGUCUAGAUACGGAUGUAUCAAGUUACAUUUUAGUAUUAGAUACAUCAGUAUCUAGACAAAUCUAAGACAAGAAAUUUGGGACAGAGGGAGUAGUUG
rnacentral:pre_miRNA from 1 species